rnacentral:rRNA from 1 species
UACGAAGGGGGCUAGCGUUGCUCGGAAUCACUGGGCGUAAAGGGUGCGUAGGCGGGUCUUUAAGUCAGGGGUGAAAUCCUGGAGCUCAACUCCAGAACUGCCUUUGAUACUGAGGAUCUUGAGUUCGGGAGAGGUGAGUGGAACUGCGAGUGUAGAGGUGAAAUUCGUAGAUAUUCGGAAGAACACCAGUGGCGAAGGCGGCUUACUGGUCCGGUACUGACGCUGAGGUGCGAAAGCGUGGGGAGCAAACAGG